GGUUAGGUUCUUUUUCCCAAUUUGCAAAAAGAAGAUAGGUAAUGUGCAUUCAAAUUUAUCAAGAUCAUGAAUUAUAUUAGGUGCAAGAUUUGUAUUCAAACUACUGGUAUCCAAUUGAUGCCCUAUAUUGUUAUGCCAAUUUUUGCAUGUUUGUUUUGCAAAGCAAAGAAUAUAUUAUGAUUCAAUCAUUUGCUUGUUCACUGUAUCUAUACUCAUGAGUAGCAUUCUUACACCAAUCUAUCAUAGACUUAUAGCAGCAAAAUAAACAAAAUUUG
rnacentral:lncRNA from 1 species